GUGAGUCAUCGAAUCUUUGAACGCACCUUGCGCUCUCUGGUAUUCCGGAGAGCAUGCCUGUUUGAGUGUCAUGAACUCUUCAACCCACCAAUUCCUUGUUGAAUUGGAUGGUGUUUGGAUCUUGAGCGCUGCUGGCUUCCCGAUUCUUAUCGGGUAAGCGAAGCUCGUUCGUAAUACAUUAGCAUCUCAAUUUCGAAAUUCGGAUUGACUCGGCGUAAUAGACUACUCGCUGAGGACACCCUUUGGGUGGCCGAAUUAGAGGUAGAAGCUCCUAAACUCUGUACCUAGUCACAACUAUUUUAGAUUAGACCUCAGAUCAGGCAGGAUUACCCGCUGAACUUAA
rnacentral:rRNA from 1 species